GGCCUCGUAGCUCAGCUGGUAGAGCAUGCGCGUACAAAGCGUAGGCGGUGUCCAUGCGUGAGUUCGAACCCCACCGAGGCUA
rnacentral:tRNA from 1 species